UAAACGCAUAGCUAAAUCAGAUUUUACUGUUUCAUAUUUGCUUAUGCAUAUGGUAUCGCUGUUUUUGUCUUGUUAUGAUUCGUUUAGGAAAUAACGGCUAUGCUGAGUAUGACAAAACUCGAGAUAUUAAUAAUAUGUAUUCCCAGAAGUAUCAGCGUGUGCCUUUCUUUGGUAUUGUGUACAGCUAGUGCAUGUUUUCUUAGUUGGUAGUGGCUUGUCAACAUCCGCUCUUAGUGGAGCAGUAGGUGGAGUAUUUGGAGUAGUUGUCGUUAUUGCCGUGUCCGUCCUGAUAUGGAGAUACAGAUCAGAUUGUAAUGCUUUACUGCAUACUGUAAUUACAGGGCUAAACGCAACACAACAAUGCACAUUGAAUAGGAACUCGGUUGGGCGGUAUGAAGAUCUGGUCAGAGAACAGGGCAACAACGACACCUCUACAACAGAUGGAAGUUAUGAAACCUGUAGAAUCG